CACAUUAAAAAAAAAAAACGUAGACAGUCAUCCGAUGCAUGUAUCAUAGUGUUUUUAGCUGAAGCUAAUUCACGACACUUGUCCCUAGUAGGGCUAAGUUAAAGAUUAAUUUAAAUG